rnacentral:rRNA from 1 species
CGAUAAGCCAUUGGAGGGCAAGUCUGGUGCCAGCAGCCGCGGUAAUUCCAGCUCCAAUAGCGUAUAUUAACGUUGUUGCAGUUAAAAAGCUCGUAGUUGAAGUGAGGGAGUGUGUGGUAAGAACAACUUGACUCGAACUGCUGCAACCUCCCCCCUCCAAUCGGUGUAGUGGGGUAUUCAGUUAUUUCACUACUCCUUUGGUCGUUUACUGUGAGAAAAUUAGAGUGUUCAAAGCGGGCGUUUGUUUGAAUAGAUUAGCAUGGAAUAAUGAUUGAAGGCUUUCGUGUUCGAUUUGAUUGGUUUGUUCAUGGAAGCAAGGUUAAAAGGAACAGUUGGGGGUAUUCAUAUUCACUAGUUAGAGGUGAAAUUCUCGGAUUUAUGGAA